ensembl:snoRNA
ACAAACAGGCUCUGAUGAAACCUAUCUUGAUAGAGACAUCUGAAAGUGUUGAUGAAUGCCAAGGACUCUAAUGGAAAAGA